GGCCCUGAGCGGUCAGCCCAGAGCCCAACGCGGUGCUCGAACCAACGAUCCGUGAGCUCGUGACCUGAGCCGAGGUCGGACGCUUAAACCGCCUGAGCCACCCAGGCGGCCCUCCCGGACGUUUUGCUGCAUUCCUGAUUUCUCAGCCAGUACUCCAGUACAACAUUGAACAGAACUGGGGACGUCUAGCCAAGAACUUCGAAGGAAAUUUAUCUGUUUACCCUACAGUUCUGUGAGCCAGCCGGGAGAUACCGAAACACCGUACUCACUGUGCAGCCUGCAGACAAGAUUCUAGAAAACUGACAGAAGCCAGCAGAAGGGCACGCCUGGAAACUUUGGUUAUAUUAUGAAGACUUCGACUGGAAUGUCAUAUUUGAGAGAGGCAUGCACACAUUCAGUUUCCUCUAGUGUUUGGCUACGACUCUCCAAACCAACAUGUCCAAGUUUUCUCCCACCCUUUCUAAGUUGAAAUUAUCGGGAACUAAAACUACACUUUCUCCAAAGCCAUGCAAGCUAGUUAGACAACGUGAUCUCAACGUCAGAGAAAUCGCAAGAGCUCGGGUAUAGACAAUCUCCAUGCGUGUUGCUGUAUGGGCCACUCAGAAAGAUCACCAGAGACAUUCAAACUACAAACCGGGAAAAUCUGUCAAAUUGCCACCGCCAGCCCUCGCUCCAUCUGAAGACGCUUUGAGCUGGACAUCGACAACUCUUCUCCACUGGCUGCCUUCGAAACUCAGAAACUGAGAUGGACAUUUUCUCUGCCUCUCUGCCCGUGAAUUGUCUUCAUCCCAUUGGAUGUCCCAAACCACUACCCUCUUCUCCACAGUCCAGGACUGCAUAUAAGCCUCAAUUGCCUGACCGACUGGGUCUCAUAACUUUGGGGCCUCUUAGUGGAUGACUUCAUUCCAGUGAUGAAAGAUGCCUGCUGCCGUUCUGAGGCUGCGAGGAAUACAUAAAGCGUCUACUACUUGCCAGGCACUGUGGAUAAAAAGGUCAAAGGGCUUUGGUCUUAACACUGGUCUGUCACCUGGACACAAACUCCAAAAGGAAAUCCUGUGUAUGUGAGUAUCUUCC